UGACUGUUUUUUUACCUGGUCCACAUAAAGUACUUACACUCUGUGAAGUGGAGGUUUAUGGGUACCCAAUUGGUCAGGAAUCCAACUAUACCAAAGGAGACAACCCGGUACUGCCAGAUUCCCAUGAAGAAUCACAAGGUGAGUGAUCACAACAACCCGGCAGGUGCUACUGUUGAACGCCAGCCUUCCAACAGGAUGGAUGGUCACUACGGUACCGUUGUUAUCCCUGGAAGACAGGAGCACCUGACCCUGUGAGAGGCCGAGGUUGAUGCCUCUGCCCUGGAUUCACUUUCAAUUUUUUCUUGCAAGAACUUAACCAAUGCUGUCAUAUGAAAGUAACCAAAAUAAUCGAUUCAGCUUCAAUCUGAUUGUUCUCAUGACUAAUAACCAAUAAAACUGUGUAAAAUGGGACUAAGUUUGUCUUAGACUAGGGG